UACGUAGGGUGCGAGCGUUGUCCGGAAUUAUUGGGGGUAAAGAGCUUGUAGGCGGUCUGUCGCGUCUGCUGUGAAAAUCCGGGGCUCAACCCCGGACUUGCAGUGGGUACGGGCAGACUAGAGUGUGGUAGGGGAGACUGGAAUUCCUGGUGUAGCGGUGAAAUGCGCAGAUAUCAGGAGGAACACCGAUGGCGAAGGCAGGUCUCUGGGCCACUACUGACGCUGAGAAGCGAAAGCAUGGGGAGCGAACAGG
rnacentral:rRNA from 1 species